rnacentral:rRNA from 1 species
AUUGAACGCUGGCGGCAUGCCUUACACAUGCAAGUCGAACGGCAGCACGGGUGCUUGCACCUGGUGGCGAGUGGCGAACGGGUGAGUAAUACAUCGGAACAUGUCCUGUAGUGGGGGAUAGCCCGUCGAAAGCCGGAUUAAUACCGCAUACGAUCUACGGAUGAAAGCGGGGGACCUUCGGGCCUCGCGCUAUAGGGUUGGCCGAUGGCUGAUUAGCUAGUUGGUGGGGUAAAGGCCUACCAAGGCGACGAUCAGUAGCUGGUCUGAGAGGACGACCAGCCACACUGGGACUGAGACACGGCCCAGACUCCUACGGGAGGCAGCAGUGGGGAAUUUUGGACAAUGGGCGAAAGCCUGAUCCAGCAAUGCCGCGUGUGUGAAGAAGGCCUUCGGGUUGUAAAGCACUUUUGUCCGGAAAGAAAUCCUUGGCCCUAAUACGGUCGGGGGAUGACGGUACCGGAAGAAUAAGCACCGGCUAACUACGUG